GCAGGGGGCGAUGCUGCAGCGCGGCUGUGGGCUGAGACAGCUCCGGGGAGGACCCGGCGCUCGGGCCUCCGCUCGGCUCCUUUCUGGCCCCGAGAUGCCUAAAAAAGUUGGUGCGACGAAGAAGGGUAAAAGCCAGAGCAGAGAACCGGAGAGACCACUUCCUGCCUUAGGUCCUGUGACAGUGAUCCUAAAGGCUGUGUCGUCAUAGCCAUCCAUGCCAAACCUGGCUCCAAACAAAAUGCUGUAACAGAUUUGACAACUGAAGCCGUAAAUGUAGCUAUUGCAGCACCUCCAUUAGAGGGAGAGGCUAAUGCUGAGCUCUGUCGCUACCUUUCCAAGGUCUUAGAACUCAAAAAGAGUGAUGUGGUUUUGGAUAAGGGUGGUAAAUCUCGUGAAAAGGUUGUGAAGCUCUUGGCCUCUGCAACUCCAGAAGAGGUCUUGGAGAAGUUAAAAAAGGAAGCUGAAAAAAAAUAAAAACAAAACAUGAAAAAUA